AAGGAGGUAACGGCCAAGCAUGCUGGACGCUGCCAAGGGCACAGCGAGGUGACCGGAAAUGCCCGUUCAUUCUGGACACCCAGAGCUCGGAGAGUAUGUCUUCGAGAAGGUUUCUCUUCAAAAGACCAGGGCACGUCUGAGGCAUUCUCUUUCCCCCCCCCCCACCCCCCUCCCCCACACUACAAGGCCAUAAAUUUCCCUCCCUAAUCUCCUCUCCUGCUCUGUGAGUUACAGAAGCUCCUGGGUCAUUUAUUAUUCAUCAUUAUCACAGUGACACAUCCAGCCAUCUAAUUCAUUGUCUCCCAGUGCUAACUUCAUCUCCUUCCUUGAAUACUCACCCGGCUGGAAUCUCUUCUGACAAACUCCUGGCACAGCUCUGGCAUUAUCUUCCCCCAAACAGGCACGAUCCUUUUAGAACUUUAUUGGCGAUCUCUUAAAAGAGCCCUUCAGAAACAGUCGGGGCCUCAGUGUAUCACGGAUCACUUAGCACUUAGGGAGGACAAAUGAGGACUCAGCGUGACUGCCUGUUCUCGCUGUACUGCCAAGGAAAUUCAAGGCGCCACCUCCAAGGUCUCCCCGGGGCCAGGGAAGGCACCCAACAUGUCCCCUGGCUCAUAAGUGACCCCACUGACUGCCUCAUCCGUGGACUGUCUGGGGAGGGUGGAGGAUGAAGCCAGCGUCCUGGAUUCCCACAGGUGGCCUGGGAAGCGCUGUGUGUUCUCAGAUCCCCUCCUGUCGCCCCACAGCUGGUUCCCACCCAAGUGAUGCCCCCAAACUUCACCCCAUCAAAACCUGCCCUCCCUAUUUAUUUCUGUUCCUUUUAGGGACCUGCCUCUGCUCGCUGACCUAAGGCAGUGCUGUCCUGUUGAACGUUCUGCGAUGAUGGAGGAUGAUAUUCUCUAUCUGCGCCAUCCAGUACGGUGGCCACUGGCCACGCGAGGCUCUUGAGCACUUGCCAUGUGGCUCACGCAAUCGAGAACUGCAUUUUUAAUCUCAUUUAAUUUUAAGUUAACAUUAAAUAGCCACACAUGGCCAGUGGUGACCAGUUGGAGAGGCAGGUCUAAGGGGGAGGGGGGACUUAUCUGUUCAUCCAGCACGUUGACUCUCCUGGAAAACAGUCCGACUAACACCCACCAAGUUCCUGCCACAUGCUGGGCUGUGGGCUGGGUGUGUUCUGUUCACUGUCUCACUUCAUUGUCGUGACAACCAGGUGAGGUAGGUACCAUUAUAUCCCAUUUUACAGACGAUAAGACUGAAGCUGGGGGAAGGUAAGCCAAGUGGCUAAGAAGGGAUUCAGAGGUUGGCAGUCCAAGAGGGUGUCUAGGGGAAUGUGGGCAGGCUUUCUCCACCACACGGGGUCCCUGUGAUAGGCUUGGCUCCCAGACUGUCUCGCCUCGCUGGGUCUCCUGAGGAAGGUGUCGCUGGAUGAAAAGCAGAGAUACAUCAUUUUAGCAGGAUCACACAGAUUCCCACUGCAUGCAGAUGUGAAAAGUGUAGCCUCUUUAUUCCUCUAUAAAUAUUCUCUAUAAGGUAAUCUGAUCUUCCUCCCAGACCCCCUUGUAGCUGGAGGAAGGGGAAGGGAAGAAGAAAACAAAAUUUCGUCUAAUUUUGUAAACACGGCAUCCUUCCAUAAUCUAAAUAGUCUCUCUAGUCUCUUCAGGGUUUCUCUGCCCUCGGGCCCCCAGAAGUCCACCCAACCCUUCAAGGUGGUAUCUGGCUAAUGUGGACGGUGGGUAGUUUUAUGACCUUGUAGCCCCAGGGGAAAGGGGCCCUGGACCCUAUCGCAUCCUCGGAUGAACAUGUGGCCGGUGUCUGCUAAGAAGAACUGGCUACGUAAUUCUCAGGGCUCAGAGCCAAAGGAAAAUGUGGGGUACUUGGUUCAAACACUGCUACGCAUUUCAAGAUGGUGACAGCAGAGCAUUAAACCAAGCACAUGCCCUUCUGAGCACAGGCCCUGUGGACUGCACAGGCCACACACCCACAAAGCUGGCCCUGCUCCCAGGGUCUGUGUGCAGACCUGCCACUUGUGAGGGUCCAUCACUGGGUGAAGGGGUGAAGGAGGUCUGUUCUCCUGGGGCCUGGUCAGAGCUGCAGUCGACCCUGACCUUUCUCGCCUCUGGGAGGGGUGCUGUGCCCCAUCCCCGACCAGGGCCCAGGAGGUCAGGCCUGCAGCCCACGUAUCCCUGCCCACAGGUCCCAACCCCAGGUCAAGGCAGAAGUCCAGCUUCCUCAUCCUUCUCAAGGGAGUGUAUUUCUGGUUCCACCCAAGGGGCACUUGGAGGAGGGGGACUCAGGGCUUUCCCUCUUCCUACCAGCUGGGGCAGGGCCGCCUGGGAGGCCACCUCCCCCCUUCCCAGAUCCUGAAAAGAAAGUGAAACAGAAGCCCCUGUGUAAUGCCCCCACCCAUGUGCACCUCCAGUACCAGGAGGGGCGUGUAUGAAUGACACAGCUCAGCUCCCUGUGCCCACACCCCACUUCCUGCAAAAGCCACUGGGCGUGAAGGGGCAGAUUUCCCGGAUUCAGACCACCAGGCCUGCUUCCAGAUCUACUAAAGGAGGAGCUGAAGUAAUUUCCAGAAUUCUUACCUCUCUUGACCUAAUCUGUAUCUUGCUGCAGACUUGAAAAUCCCAUUUCAUGCAUCAUAUUAACUCUCCUCCUGUUUGCAGAGCUGCUGUAACGGCCUCAGUCCCCUACCCUGCCUCCCAAGAGACUGAAGCGGCUUUGUGUUCACAUCCUAGGAGUCUUGAGCGGUCAGCAGACCAAUUUCACGAAGUCAAGGGCCGGAAGGAGAGGAGGCGUGGCCCUGGUACACACGCUAUAUGGAGACCUCCCUGCCUGUGUGGGUUCCCUGUGCUGGAGGCGGUAGGAUGGGAGAUUCAGAGGCUUCCCCUUCUCAGGUCAGAUCUGAAAGAGGAACAGGUGUGAAUUUAGCAAAGGAGCCGCUAGCUCGCCCCUUCCCGCCCCAGGCCCGGCGACGUGCACAUCAACAAUCCUUGUUUGCAGACUGCAUCCUGCAGAAGCACUCCUGCAGGGAGCCUCCUCGACCCCAGAAUCGUUUAACGACUCAGGAGCACCAGGCUUCCCCCAGGCAUCUCCUGCCUUCCUGGAGGGACGCCCCGAAUCCCCCAAAAGUUCUGAAAAGUAAUUUCAGUCUCAUUAAUUCUGGAAACAAACAACGGCAGAGGGAGAAGGAAGAUGAUGAGCAGAAUUAAAGGACAAAGCAGAAGGGGACCCAAGGCUCUAAGGAGAGCCAGACAACCGUCGGCUGGCCACUUUGGUGGAAAGACCUCCUUCCACACCAUCUGCACUCUCCUGUCCGGCAGGCAGGCCUCCAGGAGAAUGACUGUGAUGCCCACAAAUUCACCUGAUUAGCCUGGAACCAGAACAGGAGAGUGAGACCACAUACUACAGGAUAUUCAGAAGGACCAUUUGUCCUGGGGACCAGACCUACAGAGCUACGAGCCAAGGAAUUCUGAAUCAACAAGGCAUGUAAGGCCAGGACUUGGGCACAAGGCACAUGCAUCAAUCAUGGCUUCCAGUGGUAAGUGACUGAAAUCCCAACACAACUUGGUCUUGCUAAAAGAGGGAACUUAUUAGCGUCUACAGGUGAAAGGUGGCUUCAGGCAUAGCUGUAUCCAGGCACAGAAACAAUGUUGUCAAGACUCACUGCUGUUGCAGCCCAGGACUGUGCUUUCCCCUCUGUUGGCUUCACUCUCAGGCAGGCCUGGUCCCCAUGGUAUCUUCAUGGCCUUACCAGCCCUGUGGAAGACGGUCUCUCUUGUCCAAGGGCUCAGCUAAAGUCUCAGGGCCAGUCACUGUGACCAGGAAGAUGGAUUGCAUAAUAAACUUGGGGAUGAGGGGUGUCAUCACUACCCAAUCCACAAGAAACGGUGGGGGGAGACCCCUAGAGGAAAUUCGGAGUCAUCAGAAGUCUAUGGACAGCAUGCUGGGAAAAGAAAAACAUUAGGCAUCCAACAUGGAGUGAAGACAGGGACCCCGUCACUGUUCUGUGCUGUUUAGACGGAUUGAGCCAAUAGUUCAUGGUUUGGGGUUUGUUCUCCCUGGUGGUCAGAUUAGAGGAGUGGGCAUUUGAGCUGAGCUGCCGAGAGUACAAGUUUGCCAGGUGGGCAAGGAGGGAAAAGCAUUCCAAGCAGGGGGAACAGCACAAGCAAAGCCAUGAGGUGUGAAAAUGCAAGGCACGUUCAUAACCGGUGAGCCUCAUCCUUGCAGGCAUCAUGCGGAUGGCAGGGAGCACAGAGUGGGAAGAGCUUUCAUCUGGAAGUCAGGCAGACUCAGGUGCAAACCCCAGCUCUGCCACCUGCUCUGUGAGAUCUCAGCAGGUCCCUACCCCUCCCUGGGUUCUGGUUUCCUCCACAGGACACUGAUGUGUGCUGGAGAUUGAGUCCCUUAUGUCACUACUGUUCUCUGUGAGCUUCCACUACCUGGGAUAUUUGCUGGCUUUACAGUGCCACCUGCUCUACCCACCCACCUCACACACACCCACAGCUGUCACCUGGGCCUUGCCUUCCCUGCUUUACUCCGUAAUGCAAAAAACUACACUUCCCAAGCUCACUUGCCCUCUGGCUUCUGGGUAAGUUUGGUUAAUAGGAGGCACUAGUGCAUGAAAAGAUGCUCAAAGUCACUAAUCAUUAGAAAAAUACAAAUCAACAAUGAGAUAUCCCCUCACACCCAUGAGGAUGGCUGCUAUUUAAAAAACAAACAGGGCUUCCCUGGUGGCGCAGUGGUUGGGAGUCCGCCUGCCGAUGCGGGGGACGCGGGUUCG